rnacentral:rRNA from 1 species
UGGGGUAUAUUGGACAAUGGGCGAAAGCCUGAUCCAGCCAUGCCGCGUGUGUGAAGACGGUCUUCGGAUUGUAAAGCACUUUAAGUUGGGAGGAAGGGCAGUAAGCGAAUACCUUGCUGUCUUGACGUUACCGACAGAAUAAGCACCGGCUAACUCUGUGCCAGCAGCCGCGGUAAUACAGAGGGUGCAAGCGUUAAUCGGAAUUACUGGGCGUAAAGCGCGCGUAGGUGGUUCGUUAAGUUGAAUGUGAAAGCCCCGGGCUCAACCUGGGAACUGCAUCCAAAACAGGCGAGCUAGAGUAGGGCAGAGGGUGGUGGAAUUUCCUGUGUAGCGGUGAAAUGCGUAGAUAUAGGAAGGAACACCAGUGGCGAAGGCGACCACCUGGACUCAUACUGACACUGAGGUGCGAAAGCGUGGGGAGCAAACAGG